GCCAUGGUGGUCUAGUGGUUAAGACUUGGCACUUUCACUGCCGCGGGCUGGGUUUGUUUCCCAGACAUGGAA
rnacentral:tRNA from 1 species